AACAUUAUUAAAAAGACGACAAAUCGAAAGAAAAAAGCCAACAGAACCUGCUAAAAUAUACAAAUCACUAAUAUAUGUACCACGACUAUCAGAACGCCUCACAAACUCAGACUGUUAUAACAAACAAGAUAUAAAAGUAGCACACAAACCGACGAAUACAUUACAAAAAUUCUUCAACAAGAUAAAGUCGAAAAUCCCGAUGAUCGACAAAAGCAACGUCGUUUACCAAAUACCAUGUGGCGGGGAAAACAACAACAAGUGCAAUAGUGUCUACAUAGGUACAACAAAAUCGAAGCUAAAAACAAGGAUUAGUCAACAUAAAUCGGACUUCAAACUAAGACAUCAAAAUAAUAUACAGAAAACAGCACUUAUGACCCAUUGUAUAAAAAGCAACCACACACCAAAUUUUGAUGAAACAACAAUCUUACAACAAGAACAACACUAUAACAAGCGACACACAUUGGAAAUGCUACACAUAAUUAACACACCAACCAACAAACGACUAAACUACAAGACAGACACAGAAAAUUGCGCUCACUUGUACAGACACCUCUUAAACAGCCAAACAACCUCAGUAACAAUCUCCACGUCAAAAAGCGCAGACGUGUAAAAUAAUUGCCCUGAAGACGGUUUGCCGAUGUGCAACCGAAAUAUAUCGGAAGAAAAUUAAAA